AGAUACUAAAUAGUUUAUUUUUUUCUAGGAAGUAGAACAAAUGUUUGGCAUUAUUCAUAUUCAUGCCAGCACAGUAACAUGACUAGGCAUCUUUUGAGGAUGUAGAACCUGCCUCUGUAUUCUUUCAACGUGGCGGAGAAUCUCCUUCCAAAGCUAGAACGUUGGUGACUUUUCUCAAUUGUUGUUGAGAUGCAGUGAGCCAUUUGUUGCCUCAAAAGGGGUCUCAAAUCUCACCUCUUUACCUCUGCUGGCUAGAUACUGUGGUUGUGUUGGUGCUUGCUUGCGACACUGGUAUGUUCUGCAGGUUUUUAUAGAGAUCUCGUUGAAACACGUUGGGAUUUUUGGAAAUAGUGUGAAGCAAAUAAGCCACAGAACUAGAAG
rnacentral:lncRNA from 1 species